rnacentral:pre_miRNA from 1 species
CAAGUACUCCCUCCGUCCGAAAAUACUUGUCAUCAAAAUGGAUAAAAAAGAUGUAUCUAGAACUAAUAUACAUCUAGAUACAUCCCCUUUUAUUCAUUUUGAUGACAAGUAUUUCCGGACGGAGGGAGUGAGGG